ACUCUAUAUAACUCAAAGCAAC
rnacentral:miRNA from 1 species